rnacentral:lncRNA from 1 species
AUUUGAUUAGGAUUUGAUUUAAGAUAUAGGAUUAUGGUUAGGAUUUGAUUAGGAUUUGAUUUAAGAUUAGAGUUUGAUUAGGAUUUGGUGAGGAUUUGGUGAGGAUUUGAUUUAGGAUUAGGAUUUGGUUUAGGAUUUAGGGUUUGAUGUAGGGUUAAGGUUUGGUUACGAUUUGAUUUAGGGUUAGGAUUUGGUAAGAGUUUAGGAUUUAGUUAGGAUUUUAUUUAAGAUUAGGAUUUGAUUUAGGAUUUAGGAUUUAAUUAGAGUUUUAUUUAGGAUUAGGAUUUAGUUUAAGCUUUAGGAUUUGGUUUAGGAUUUAAGAUUUGGUUAGGAUUUGAUCAAGAUUUUAUUUAGGGUUUAGGAUUUUAUUUGAGUUUAUUUAAGCUUUAAAAUUUAGUUAGGUUUUGGCCUAAAGUUUGAAUGAAAUAAGAUUUCAACUAGGAUUAAAUUAAGAUUGAAUUGAGAUGUAUUUGACAUAUGUUUGUAAUCAUUCUAAUAUUUUUUUAAGAUUUCUUAUUGUUUCUUUGAAAUUCCUUUGAGGUAUCUCUUAAUUUGAUUAAAGCUUAUUUAGCAUUAUUAGUGUUCUAUUAGAAUUAGGAUUUUGUUGUUGCAAUUUCCAUUCUACCUUCCACAGCCAGGUGCCUAGAGCAUUUUUAAGCAAGUCUUCACGUAUUACAACAAUGUCAUAUCUUUUAGACUUACAAAUGCACCAACAACAUUCCAACAUCUAAUGA